GCCCAUGUGGCGGAAUGGUAGACGCAGGGGAUUCAAAAUCCCCCGCCCUAACGGGUGUGCCGGUUCGAGUCCGGCCAUGGGUACCA
rnacentral:tRNA from 2 species